rnacentral:rRNA from 1 species
UGGGGAAUUUUGCACAAUGGGGGAAACCCUGAUGCAGCGACGCCGCGUGAUUUAGAAGGCCUUCGGGUUGUAAAAAUCUUUUUUAUGGGAUGAAAAUGACAGUACCAUAAGAAUAAGGUCCGGCUAAAUACGUGCCAGCAGCCGCGGUAAUACGUAUGGACCGAGCGUUGUCCGGAAUCAUUGGGCGUAAAGGGUACGUAGGCGGCCCAGUAAGUUAGAAGUGAAAUAAUAUAGCUAAACUAUAUAAAGCUUUUAAAACUGCUAGGCUUGAGAAAUGGAAGGGAAAGUGGAAUUCCUAGUGUAGCGGUGAAAUGCGCAGAUAUUAGGAAGAAUACCGGUGGCGAAGGCGACUUUCUGGUCAUCAUCUGACGCUGAGGUACGAAAGCGUGGGUAGCAAACAGG